rnacentral:rRNA from 1 species
UACGUAGGUGGCAAGCGUUGUUCGGAAUUAUUGGGCGUAAAGGGCGCGUAGGCGGCUUUGUAAGUCGGGGGUGAAAGCCUGUGGCUCAACCACAGAAUUGCCUUCGAUACUGCAUGGCUUGAGACCGGAAGAGGUAAGUGGAACUGCGAGUGUAGAGGUGAAAUUCGUAGAUAUUCGCAAGAACACCAGUGGCGAAGGCGGCUUACUGGUCCGGUUCUGACGCUGAGGCGCGAAAGCGUGGGGAGCAAACAGG